rnacentral:misc_RNA from 1 species
GGAAGGUCUCAUGAUGUUACAGAGUGAGCUAAAACAUCAAAGAAAGAUUGCGAGGAGCUUGAAAAAGAAAUCUCUUUGGGCUAAGGGUUUGGAGGAGGUUGUGGAGAAGCUUGUUGACAUUGUUACAUAUAUACAUCAAGCAAUUGUGGAAGCAUUUGGGGACAACGGAUUGACAUCUGCUGUCAAGGAGCCUGUGAAGAAACAAGAAAGAUUGGGAGUAGCUGGUCUGGCUUUACACUAUGCUAACUUAGUUACUCAAAUUGAUAACAUUGCUUCACGGCCCACCGCUCUUCCCCCUAACAUGAGGGAUGGAUUAUAUAAUGGAUUGCCUCCUUCCAUAAAAACGGCCCUUCGUUCACGUCUGCA